rnacentral:rRNA from 1 species
AUGGCAAGCUCUUCCACUUCCUUCCCAUCCUCUCCAUUUGUUCACACCGCAACAGAGAAGCUUACGAGAGGGAACGAAGCUCUAUGGCGUGCCACCGUUCUCUCGGCGAUCAGGGGGGCUCGGAUGGAAGAGUUCCUCGACGUCGAGCAGCCGGUGCUGCCCCAGUCCAUUGAGGUCACCGGUGCCGACGGCAAGACCAAGUCCAAAGCUCCCAAUCCGGAGUUUUCCACGUGGUACGCGAGGGAUCAGCUGGUGUUCUCUUACCUGCUGACCUCUCUCCCGUGCGAGAUGGCAAUUCAGGUGGCUACAUGCCACACCGCAGCAGAGCUGUGGAACAUGGUGCAAGGCAUGCUCGCCUCACACACGCCUGCAAGUACGGUCAACGUCCGGAUCACGUUGGUGAAUCUUCAGAAGGGCAACAACAACAUCACUGAUUACGUUGGUAAGAUUAGA